UACGUAGGGUGCGAGCGUUAAUCGGAAUUACUGGGCGUAAAGCGUGCGCAGGCGGCGCCGCAAGUCGAGUGUGAAAUCCCCGAGCUUAACUUGGGAAUUGCGCUCGAAACUACGGUGCUGGAGUGUGGCAGAGGGAGGUGGAAUUCCACGUGUAGCGGUGAAAUGCGUAGAUAUCAAGAGGAACACCUGAGGUGAAGACGGGUUGCUGGGCCGACACUGACGCUGAGUGCGCGAAAGCCAGGGGAGCAAACGGG
rnacentral:rRNA from 1 species